GACGAACGCUGGCGGCGUGCUUAACACAUGCAAGUCGAACGGAAAGGCCCUGCUUGCAGGGUACUCGAGUGGCGAACGGGUGAGUAACACGUGGGUGAUCUGCCCUGCACUUCGGGAUAAGCCUGGGAAACUGGGUCUAAUACCGGAUAGGAGCCAUUUGUAGUGUGAUUGUUGGAAAGUUUUUUCGGUGUAGGAUGAGCUCGCGGCCUAUCAGCUUGUUGGUGGGGUAAUGGACUACCAAGGCGGCGACGGGUAGCCGGCCUGAGAGGGUGGACGGCCACAUUGGGACUGGGAUACGGCCCAGACUCCUACGGGAGGCAGCAGUGGGGAAUAUUGCACAAUGGGCGCAAGCCUGAUGCAGCGACGCCGCGUGGGGGAUGACGGCCUUCGGGUUGUAAACUCCUUUCGCUAGGGACGAAGCUUUUUGUGACGGUACCUAGAUAAGAAGCACCGGCUAACUACGUG
rnacentral:rRNA from 1 species